GUUAAAGUCUGUUCCUGCUCAAAUCCAGCCGCCCUGUGCUCUCUGGACUCCGGUGGCAGAUGUGGCCUCCUUGGUGCUGAAUGAAGCUUUGCUUAAUGUGGCUGCCUGUGGAAUUAUAUUUGGAGGGAUUGCUAUUAAUGGAAACCAGUGAAGGAGCAGUCACUCGUUCCUCACAAGCACAGAGGUCUUUUGUGAUGGAGAUGACAGCUUUCCUCAUUUCAUACACGGUCCCUCGUGAACCUGAAGAGGGAAGGAUGCAUGCGUGUUUGAACAAGACUUCAAAGGAAGCCUGGGACCCGGCCUCCAUUCCAGAGUUGCUGUCAGGUCAGCCCCUGGAGCCACCCACAGUUCUCAUUCCUGUCUCACGUCCUUCAAGGACUUCCUGCUACUCUUGGGAAGAGCCAAAUUUCUUCACCGAGCCCACCAAGCCCAUGGCAGUGUCACCCCAGCUAACCUUGCCUGCUUAUCUCCCAUCCACCCUGCCCUGCAGUCCCACUGCAGAGUCUCACCUUCCCCAAAAUAUCCUACGCGGGUGCCUCCCUGUCAGAAAUGCCAUUCUCCCUUUUGUUGUCUGGAUCCUCUCCAUCUCAUCCUUCAAGACCCUGGCAGAAGUCUUCUUAGGGAGUCCUCCCCAUCUGUCCCAGGUAGAGGGAAUCAUCCCCACCUCUUUGCUCC
rnacentral:lncRNA from 1 species